rnacentral:rRNA from 1 species
GUAAUAGUCCUGUAAGUGAAACGAGAAGACCACGAGUUAUGAUCCAGAGUACCACGAGACACGUGAAACCUUGUGGGAAGCAGGGAGGACCACCUCCCAAGGCUAAAUACUACCUGAUGACCGAUAGUGAAGCAGUACCGUGAGGGAAAGGUGAAAAGAACCCCGGGAGGGGAGUGAAAUAGAACCUGAAACCGUGUGCCUACAACCGCUCAGAGCCCCUUAUGAGGGUGAUGAGGUGCUUUUUGUAGAACGAGCCAACGAGUUACGGUAUGUAGCAAGGUUAAGUACUUAAGGUACGGAGCCGAAGGGAAACCGAGUCUGAAUAGGGCGACUAGUUGCAUGCCGUAGACCCGAAACCGGGUGACCUAUCCAUGGCCAGGUUGAAGCGAGGGUAAAACCUCGUGGAGGACCGAACCACGUUGCUGUUGAAAAAGCAUGGGAUGAGCUGUGGAUAGCGGAGAAAUUCCAAUCGAACCCGGAGAUAGCUGGUUCUCUCCGAAAUAGCUUUAGGGCUAGCGUCGAGUAUGAGUAGUGGAGGUAGAGCACUGAAUGGGCUAGGGGGCAUAGCGCUUACCGAACCUUAUCAAACUCCGAAUGCCACAUACUUUGAGCUCGGCAGUCAGACUACGAAUGAUAAGAUCCGUGGUCAAAAGGGAAACAGCCCAGAUCGUCAGCUAAGGUCCCAAAGUGUAAGUUAAGUGGGAAAGGAUGUGAGAUUUCUAAGACAACUAGGAUGUUGGCUUAGAAGCAGCCAUUCAUUAAAAGAGUGCGUAAUAGCUCACUAGUCGAGAGAUCUUGCGCCGAAAAUGUAACGGGGCUAAACUUACCA